UGGCUCAGUUGGUAGAGCAUGGUGUUUGCAACGCUGGGGUUGUGGGUUCGAUUCCCAC
rfam:Salmo salar isolate Sally breed double haploid chromosome ssa11, whole genome shotgun sequence.